rnacentral:rRNA from 1 species
AUUGAACGCUGGCGGCAGGCCUAACACAUGCAAGUCGAACGAGUGGCGGACGGGUGAGUAAUGUCUGGGAAACUGCCUGAUGGAGGGGGAUCACUACUGGAAACGGUAGCUAAUACCGCAUACCAUCAGCUGUGCCCAGAUGGGAUUAUCUUGUUGGUGGGGUAACGGCUCACCAGGGCGACGAUCCCUAGCUGGUCUGAUAGGAUGACCAGCGACACUGGAACUGGGACGCGGACCAGACUCCUAAGGGAGGCAGCAGUGGGGAAGAGUGACCAAGGGGCGAAAGGCUGAUGCAGAGAUGGCGAGUGUGUGAAGGAGGCCCUCGGGUUGUAAAGUACUUUCAGCGGGGAGGCGUUACCCGCAGAAGAAGCACCGGCUAACUACGUGCCAGCAGCCGCGGUAAUAC